CGAAUAGCCAAAUAGCUAUAUGGAAUCAAAUCAAAAAUCAAUUGAAUUAAUGUAGAACCUACUGUAUUGUCUAUGAAGCAAAAAAGCUCAAAUAAACUAGACAACAAAAUGAUCAACAUUUUUAUAUUUAUAUUUCUUUGUAGAUGGAUAUACAACAUUUUUUUUCAUGUCACAUGGGAGUAGGUCUGCAAAUGAGCAGCAGUCAGAAAAGUCCGUGCAAAAAGAGAGUGAAGUCAAGGCAGAGCACAUUGAAGAAAGCACAGUAGAGAAAAGGCAAGAUCAUGAUCCAGUACAGGGACAGAGAAAGCAUGAAGCAGAAGAAGACACGAGUCAGGAGAGAGAUGGAUAGAUAUGCAGAG
rnacentral:lncRNA from 1 species